rnacentral:lncRNA from 1 species
AUAUUUAAAUUAGAUUAUUAUUGAAGCAUUACGUAGUAUAUAGAGUUGAGCUAGAAUACUUCCAAAAGCACCAAAGAGGUGAUGCUUUUGAAUUUUUAAUUUUUGGAUGAAAAAGUGUAAGGUUGAGAUGAUGAUGGUAAGUGGAAUAGUAUUUGAUUCAAAAGUUAUUAAUAAUUAAGGAGUAAAUCUAAGGGCUAAAAAUUUAGAAGCACUAAGUAGGUGACGCUUCUAAAAGUAUUCAAGCUCAAUUCGUAGUAUAUAUCAUUAGUCAACAUAUAAAAGAAGAGCUGUUAUUAAAUUUGUGCGAAAUUAUUUCUACUACUAGAACUGUACGUACACAAGACAUUUUUGGAAAGGAAAAAAAUUCAAAACUCACGCUUUUAUAAGUAGUAUAGAUAAAUACUUUUUAGGAAAAAAGAAAAAAAAAGUAAUGUUAUAUUUAUAAAUGUUCGAAGCGUGAUUUGUUAUGAUACAACUUGUUGGAAUUGGUAUUUGUGCUGAUACCGAUUAUAUAACUCAACAUCUAAAAUAAAAUAAAAUAAUAUAUAGAAAAUAUAUGUAGAAGAGAUAUUGGAUGAGAAAGAAGAUAACUAAACUAAUACUUUAUCCAUAAAAAAUAAUUAACUACAUUCUGGGCAACUCUCAUACAGCUAUAUCUACUAUGGUUUUUUCAUGUAAUUAAUCCAUGCCUAACUAUAUAUAGCCACAAAAUCAUAACAGAUGAUAAAUCUAAUUUUAUUUUAGAUAAUUAUAUAUUCUAAUCAAAUAAAAGAUUUAAACUGAUCUGUAAAUAUAUUUUAAUUAAGUUUGGAUUAUUAUUUUCAACAAUAAAUAAGUUUUGAAUUAUUCAGCAAAAAUAUAUGUGCGUGAUUUUAAUAUGAUGAUAGCGUGAAUCACUAGGAAAUCGUUUGGUUCAGCGUAAAAUAGACCGAAAAAUAAUUUUGGUAUGAAAAAUAUUUUU